UAGGUGCCAGGUAAAGAGAGACCCU
rnacentral:piRNA from 1 species